UUUUUUUUUUUUUUUUUUUUUUUUUUUGCUUUUUAGAGCGGCACCCAUGGCAUAUGGAGGUUCCCAGGCUAGGGGUCUAAUCAAAGCUACGGCUGCCAGCCUACACCACAGCCACAGCAAAGCCAGAUCUGAGCCUCGUCUUCGACCUACACCACAGCUGUUGGCAAUGCCGGAUCCUUAACCCACUGAGCAAGGCCAGGGAUCGAACCCGCAACCUCAUGGUUCCUAGUCGGAUUUGUUUCCACUGAGUCACAAUGGGAACUCCUCACUGUUUCUUCUUUAUAAGCCUUGGCUUCCUUCAGGCCCCCAGGUCCUUUCUUCCUCCCUCUCCUCACCCUACAAUAUCUGUUUAUUUCUCAUGCACAGAUGGUCAGUUCUUCCUCUGAACUGAUACUAUCCCCAGAACUAAUUCUGCAAGUCCCCCAAACCUCCCAAGGUACUCUGCUAAACACCAAGACCACUGCUUUCAGAUUUUGGCGACAUCAGGGACGGAAAUAACACUGAUGCCCCUCCCCCUGAAAAGACUGAGAAAUUCAGAAUAGACGUUAGAACCACAGUAGAAUUUGAAAAAAAAAGGUGGGGAAACACCCAGGUCUUGGGUGUACAGAGGUGACUUGGAGUCAGAGUUGAGCUUUGACCCUGACUAUGGGCCCUAAAGAUAGGGGCUGAGGUUUCAACACCCACCCAGGGUCAAAAUGUAUGGCCUUGGAGCUCCUGCUGGGGUGCAAUGGGAUUAGCAGCAUCUCUGCAGUACUGGGACACUGGUUCGAUCCCAGGCUCCACUCUGUGGGUUAAGGAUCCAGCAUUGCUGCCAGCUGCAGCAUAGGUUGCAGAUGUGGCUUGGAUCUGGAGUUGCCGUGCCUGUGGCAUAGGCUGGCAGCUGCAGCUCUGAAUUGACCCCUAGCCUGCGAACCUCCACGUGCUGUAGGCACAGCCGAAAAUAAAUAUAAAAUAAAAUAAAAUAAAAUAAAAUAAAAUAAAAUAAAAGUAGCUGUAGAUGACUGGGAAUUAUGUCAUUUGUAUUAAAUGCAGAUUUUUUUCUGAGUAUGUGGCUCAUGCUGUUGUGAAGAAUGGUUUAUGUUUUACAUUUGUCAGUUUGUAACGAGAGGAUUUCUUUUACCCUUUGUAGCUCAGAGACCACCUGAUGUAUCAUCUAAAAUACAAUAAACAUGCCCCUUAAAAAAAAAUAUUCCCCUGACCAGCCCUUGGAGCAGCUGGCAUGAAAAAACAAACAAACAAAACAAAACCACAAAAUAGGAGUUCCCGUUGUGGCACAGUGGAAAUGAAUCUGACUAGGAACCAUGAGGUUGCAGGUUUGAUCCCUGGCCUUGCUCAGUGGGUUAAGGAUCUGGCGUUGCUGUGAGUUGUGGUAUAGGUUGAAGAUGUGGCUCACAUCUGGCAUUGCUGUGGCUGUGGUGCAGGCUGCUAGCUGUGGCUCCGAUUCGACUCCUAGCCUGGGAACCUCCAUAUGCUGUGGGUACGGCCCUAAAAAAAAGUAAAAAAAAAAAAAAUUAAGAACAGAAGAUCAGAAACAGACUCAUAGGUGUUGAAAACAAACAUAUGGUUACCAAAGGGGAAGAGGGCACAGGGAUGGACUGGGGUUUGGGGAAUGGCAAAGGCACAGUUUUGUAUAUGGAAUGGAUAAUCAACUGGGACCCGAUGUACCACACAGGGAAAUCUACUCAGUUUCUGUGAUAGCCUAUAUGGGAAUGGAUAUGCAUAUCGUAUGUCUGAAUCACUUCGCUGUACGGCAGAAAUUAAUAGAACAUCGUAAAUCAACUAUGCUUCAAUAAAUUAAAUUUGAAAAAAUUAAGAAUAGAACCAGCAUAUGAUCUAGCAAUUCUACUUCUGGGUUUUCAUCCAGAGAAAACGAAAAUACUAAUUCCAAAAGAUAUAUGACCCUCCCUGUGUUCACUGCAGCAUUAUUUACAAUAGCCAAGAUAUAGAAAGAACCUAAGUGCCCAUGGAUGGAUGAAAAGAUAAAGAAGAUAUGAUUUUUUUUUUCAUUUUUUGGCCACCCCACAGCAUAUGGAGUUCCUGGGCCAGGGAUCAGAUCUGAGCCGUAGUUGCGACUACAGCUGUGGCAACGCUGAAUCCUUAACCCAGUAUGCCGGGCCGGGAAUCAAACCUGUGUUCCAGCGCUCCCAAUAUGCCACCAAUCCCACUGCACCACAAUAGGAACUCCAAGAAGAUAUGAUUUAUGCAUACAAUGGAAUAUUAGCCAUAGAAAAUAGAAAGUUUGCCUUUUGCAUACACGGAUGACCUUCAUGAUAUUAUGCUAAGUGAAAUAAGUCAGAUGGAGAAAGACAAAUACUGUAUGAUUUCACUCCUGUGUGGAAUUGAAAAACAAACAAAAACAAAAUAAAUGAAUAAACCAAGCAAAACAAAAACAAUCAUGUAGAUACACAGAGUAGUGUUUACACAGAGAUACAGGAAAGGGAAGGGAGGGGCAGGUGAAGUGGAUAAAGGAGGGUCAGCUGUGUGGUGGCAGAUGGAAACUAACUUUGGCGGGGGCACGCUGGACCUGCAACAUGAAAUCUACAUCACCACGAGGGUGGACGUGGGGAGAGAGACAUGGAGACGCCAGGACAGACUGGGCUGGAGGGGGCGCUCUGCAGGGACUGAACACAGAUGAGAACUGGAGAAAGCCCCCAAACCAAAGUCUAGGUGCUCCGCCUGGGUCUGUAAACCUGCCCA
rnacentral:lncRNA from 1 species